GCCUUUGUAGCAAAACGGUAAUGCAGAGGACCUAAGCUCCUCCACAAGGAGUUCGACUCUUCUCCAAGGCU
rnacentral:tRNA from 1 species